rnacentral:rRNA from 1 species
CGUGUAGGUGGCUUGCCAAGUCUGGUGUGAAAUCCCACGGCUCAACUGUGGAACUGCAUUGGAAACUGGUAAGCUCGAGUAUUGGAGGGGGUCGCGGAAUUCCCGGUGUAGAGGUGAAAUUCGUAGAUAUCGGGAGGAACACCAGUGGCGAAGGCGGCGACCUGGCCAUUUACUGACACUGAGACGCGAAAGCGUGGGUAGCAAACA